rnacentral:rRNA from 1 species
UACGUAGGGUGCAAGCGUUAAUCGGAAUUACUGGGCGUAAAGCGUGCGCAGGCGGCUUUGCAAGACAGAGGUGAAAUCCCCGGGCUCAACCUGGGAACUGCCUUUGUGACUGCAUAGCUAGAGUACGGCAGAGGGGGAUGGAAUUCCGCGUGUAGCAGUGAAAUGCGUAGAUAUGCGGAGGAACACCGAUGGCGAAGGCAAUCCCCUGGGCCUGUACUGACGCUCAUGCACGAAAGCGUGGGGAGCAAACAGG